AUGGCAGGGGAAGGGGACGGCGCGGAGGAGAAGACGAUCGUCGUCGGAGCGGGAGAGCAGGAGGGGCAGAUCGUCGUCGCCGGAGCAGCGUACGAGGAGGAGGAGGUGGACGGCGGAGGAGGAGCCGCAGCAGACGAGGAGAGCGGCGGGGGCGACGGCCAGUUCAUCAUUCCGCCGCCGGGGUUCCGGUUCAGGCCGAGCGACGACGAGCUCAUCAGGUACUACCUGCUCCCCAAGCUGCAGGGCCGGGGCCACGCGCCCAACAGGGCCAUCAUCGAGCACAACGUGUACCAGUGCCACCCGGACGAGCUCACCGGGAAGUACAGGGGCCGGGGCGAGGGCAAGAGCUUCUACUUCCUGUCGCCGAGGGUGCGCCGGUACGACAACGGGGACCGGCCGCGGCGGGACACGGACGACGGCCGCGGCCGGUGGAAGGUGUCGACGGGCAAGAAGGACAUGGGGGAGGAGAAGAAGGUGGCCGGCGACGGCACGACCCGCUACUGCAUGAGCGUGCUCAACUACUUCGAGAGCCCCAGAGGCGGCGGGCGCAAGUCCGAGUGGCUCAUGAGAGAGCUCACCGUCCCGGCGUACGAGAUCAAGCUCCCCAAGGACGGCGGCCCUGGAGGCAAGACGUUGGAUAGGUACGUGAUGUGCAAGAUUUACCUCAAAGACGACAAAGGUGACGACGACGAGGAGGCAGGGCCCAGCAGCGCCUCGCCGCUGCUCCUGCACGGGCCGGUGGAGGGCGACGAAGGGGCGACGUCGGCGGAGCUUCCUAAGCUUUCGAAGAAAAUGGCGGGCAAGAGGCCCGCGCAGGACCAGCAGCCGCGGAACGCCGCGGCCACCGCGAGGAAGCGGGCUCACCACUCCUCAAAAUGCAUGCAAAUCGAGCCACCAGCACCAUCGCCACAGGGCAACGGCAUGCAGGCUCCGUUCAGCACGCCGGGAUGCUCAUACUACGGUGGAUCAGGGCAGCCCAUGCUCAUGGGGUGUCACGCUGGCACACCGAUGCCGCGGCCAAUGCUGGCAUACAACAACGGCCAGGUGCAGGUGCCGCGGCAGCAGGUGGCGUACAACGGCCAGGUGCCCGUGAUGGCGCGACAACCGGCGGCGUACAAUGGUCCGGUGCCGGUGAUGGCGCGACAGCCGGCGGCGUACAACGGGCCGGUGCCGGUGAGGCAGCAGCAGGUGGCGUUCAACGGCCAGGUGCGGCCGCCGCCGUGCCGGCCCGCAGGUUGCCGCAACGUCUAUGGUCAGAAUCCGACAAUGAUGACGCGGCCUUCGUGCCCGGCCCCGGUCGGCCAAGCGGUGAACCCGCAGGUGCAGAAGCAGCCGGAGACGGAUGAGAUGCGCGAGAAGCGGGUGCUUCAACAGAACCUGCAGGAACACCUCCGGAUGCAGUCGCAACAACAGCUGAUGGGGUUCACGCAGCAGCAGCAGCAGCAGCAACUUGCGAUGGCGUCCACGCACCAGCAGCGGCAGGCGAUGGCGUUCAUGAUGCGCCAGCAGCAGCAAUGGAGGAUGUCGUUCAUGAUGCACCAGCAGCAGCAGCAGUACCAUCAGCAGCAGCAGCAGCAGCAACAGUACUUGGGCGGCGCCAACGCCGAUUACUAUCACCACGAAGGGGCCAUGGUCCUCCCGACGGCGAGCAGUUCUCCAGGAGAGGCGGCGCUGGUAACAGCAGACGGUUCGCCGGUCAGCACGGUGGUGUCUGUGGAGGGAAACGAGGAGGGUAACAACGGGGAUUGCAGCAGCCAUGGUCGGGGGGAGUCUGCGGGCGGGGUGACGGCACCGGCAUCGGCACCGGCAGAGGGUGAUGGCCCCCAGCAUGCAUAA
rnacentral:rRNA from 1 species